CUCCUGUUGACAACAGGUCAUGACCAAAUACCUCAUUAGGUUUUCCUCCUAUUACAAUAGAUCAUGACCAAAAGGUUCCAUGAGGACUGGGUUGGGGAACACUGCCUAAGACUGUGCAUCCUGUUGACAAUAGAUGAUGACCAAAGCCCUCAUUAGACCUUGGCUCCUGUCAACAAUAGGCCAUGACCCAUCCCCACACUAGGC